AACUGGGCAAGGGUGCUGGGUUCAAUUUUGUAAUGAUAUGUCUCUGUCAUUGGACAGCAAAUAAGAAACUUCUCUCCCUAAAGAACCUUUCUUCCUUAUUUUCAGACAGGACCUGACUCCAUAGCCCAAGAUGUCCUUGAACUUAGGGUCCUCCUGUCUCAGCCUCCCGUGUGCUGGAAUUUCAAGUGUGUCCCGCUGGGCUCAGCUGUCUUCAUUUUUAUAAAAGGUGGAUCAAUGGGCCGCUCAUACUGCCUGUUAUCUUCACUCAGUGCCAACGUGUGUUCUAGACGUGUGUCACGAGGUCACAGGCGUCUGGAAAGGGUGAUCGCAGGUUGGUCUUCCAGGGUGGGACAGCAGCUACCUCCCCAGGAGCUGCUGGGCAGGAGAGAGCUGGGCAGGAGAGAGCUGGUGACCAUAUACAGUCCAGGGUGUCCUAGAAUCCAUUAAUCAAGGACACAUGGACGGGCCCCUCUGGCUUUCAUUUGACAGGUGGAGAACCUGAGCCAGCUGAGACCGCAGGGAGGAUUUGCACCCCCAAGGGCUUUGUUUCUAGCUGUUCGGACCUGGCCUGAUUCCUAGGAAGAAGCCAAACCUCUGAUGGAUUCUUUUCCUCUUUUAGACCCUGUCAGAAUCCAGAUGCACGAGAGUUAGAGACAGUUCCUCCUCCUCUUCCUCCUCCCCCUCCUCCCUCUCCUCUUCCUCCUCCCCCUCCUCCCUCUCCUCCUCUUCCUCCUCUCCCUCCCCCUCCUCCUCCUCUUCCCUGGAUUGGCCCCAUGGGCCCAAAUUCUUGUUUUUCUUUGUUUCCCCCUUAUUCUCCAAAGACACAUUGAAGCUGACAUUUCAGGGAAUGCCUUAUUGGGCAGGCCUACAGAGGCUGGCUUGUAUGAGUGGUGGGAACCUCCUCAGAAGAGCCCAAUCUUGCUGACUAGUAAUUGACAGUAAGGAGUCCCCAACAUGGGUCCUAAGAUGCCACCCCCUCCUCCCCUGUAUCUCCCCGCUCCUCCCCUGCACAGUCUCCUUUAAAGGGGGGUCAGCACCUGACCUUUUCCCAACUCCAUUGCUUGCCUACCUGCCAAGGGACCCUGUUCUGCAGGGACGUGGGGGUGUGAGGGUCACCGGGCCAAGGUAAUGCAGGAGAAAAAAGGAGGGAAGGAAAAAGGAAGAGAGAAAGAAGGAAGGAUGGAUGUAAGGAUAGAAGGGAUGGAGGAAGGAGGGAGACAGGGCAGGUGGUCAAAGAGAACGUUAAAGAGGCUUCCUCGCAGGUUAUGAAGGUAAGGGCUCACUCAGUGCCACGUACUCCCCGUGGGGGUUUAGGGGACCGCAUCUCUGGAGAAGAGACUCGCAAACUGAAGAUGGGACUUACCCCUGCCCUCCUUGUCAUGGAGACUUAGACCUCUAGUGUAGCAGCCCCUAGAACCAUCACGGCUUCCUUUCUUUUUUAUUUCUUUUUUAAAGAUUUAUUUAUUAUACUUAAAAAACAGACACACCAGAAGAGGGUGUCAAAUCUCAUUACGGAUGGUUGUGAGCCACCAUGUGGUUGCUGGGAUUUGAACUCAGGAUCUUCAGAAGAGCAGUCAGUGCUCUUAACCACUGAGCCAUCUCUCCAGCCCCCACCAUCACGGCUUUCUGAGUGGCAAAUUCCCAGAGGCCCUUGGGCAUAGCAUUCUCUUUUGAAUGACUCCUAUUAAUGAACAUUGUCCUUUGAAGGGCUAUUCAAGGAAAUAAUGAAGACUUCUUGUUAGUUUGGACUUGCAAUAAAUAACUGGCUGGUUGCCACAGGGACUCCUCUUUCCAGUUCCCUGUUUCCUGAUACCUAGAAAGUAGCUGAGCUAGAGGAAGAGAAAGUCCCGGAGACCGUUUCCUCACAGGACAUUGCACGAGGUCCCUGUGGUCCCAAGGAUCCACUAAUGUGUAUAAUGACUUCGUGUCUGUAAGCGCCAGGAAAGGUUCUGUCCUUGAGAAGCACAGGAAAAUACAACCCGUGAGAAAGAUGGCCAGGAUCUCAGGCUCUCUAAGUUGAGAGCAUUGAAACUCCUAUGUCAGCACCCUGGGCAGACUGCAGUCAGGAACAGCAACACAGUGAGCAAUGCUGACAGGAUGCUGUUCCUUCAGGGGGGCUCUAUCCUGUCCAGGCCGCCUGUUGGGGGCUGGGAGGCAGAGAAGGGACCUCCUUUGUGGCUUUUAAGCCAACUUGUAGAUCUAAUUUUAAGUCACUUUAAUAACAUAAAAUUCCUGCUCAGUGGCUGGGUAGAUCGCUGACAAAGUGCUAGCCCGGCAAACCUGAGGCCCUGAGUUUGAUCCCCAGCCCUUUCGUAAAGAAACCAGAUUCAGCAUGCGUAGCUGUAGUACCAGAGCUGGGGAUGUGGAGACAGGGGGAUUGUUGGACUUGUUUCUUGGUGCCGUGGCUCACAGGGGUUGGGACUGGGGAUGUCUUGAAGGAUAAGGUACAGAAAACUCAGUACGGAAACAUUAGUGUUUAUCUCCACCAAACAACUAACUCAGUUCUACUCAGACCUAACUAGUUCCUUUAGUAAAAGGAGCUAAUAGUUUAUAUUUUGGCAAAUAAUUCUCCUAGCACUGUGUGUGGCUGUCCUAUUUCAGGGUGAAUUGCCCCUACGCUGUGUCAGGUCCUAUGCUAUAUUUUAAUCGGAUCUGUUCUGUUUUCUGGAGCAGCCUAGAGUCUCGCUGUUAUUACAGUGAUGAGUAUUUUAGUGUUCGAAGUCCACCGAGGAGAGUUUCAUUCAGAAGCGGGCUUAUUCCGUCAGCCUUCAGAUUGCCCAGCGUCCCUCCGGGAUUUCUGGGGAGCUGGCCAGUGACCAAGGCUCCUUUUUACGCUGUGGAAAUUCCUCCCUUCUUCUUUUAGAACCAUCGUACCCGUAUCCUGUGCGAGAGCUGCGCCUGUGGUUUUCUGCCUCCCCGGCUAUACUCUUUUGUCUUUCUUGUCUUAUCUCCUGUUCUCGGUGAAAACAAGAGUGGGGACCUUAGACAAAUAGGAGCCAAAGGCAGCGUGGUGGCUUGUGUGGCCAUUUCCGCACUGUGGGGCUCUUCCUACCUAGAUGGUUCUAUUGGCAGGGUCAAGGUGCUGGCGCCCCCUGCUGCAUCCCAGCAGCAUUGCUCUUGUGGAACUUGCUAGUGAGAGGGGUGGGGGUAGGGUCAGGGCUAGAACCCGACUGUAGUGCUCCCCGACUCUCCCAGCUGAGCCGUGAGCAAAGAAGGAAGGUGUGAGUGAACCCAGCGCUGGGCACCUACUGAAAUGGCGUUCCUGCCUGCUGGGGUGGACAGAGACCCUCCUCAGCUUCCCUGCCUUUUCUGUGCCUUCAGAGGGGAAUGUUGCAAUUCAGUUCUCCACAGAAAAGGACUGGCUUCCUGAAGUAGGCCUCUGUCCCUGCGAGACAGGGUAGCCCUACUUGGUAGGAUAGCAGGGUGUCUACCUGAAGACUUCGACUUUGGACGUUUUAAGUGGCAAAUGGUUUGAUGCAGCCCUUGGAUGCCCGGAGUGUGUCUGUGAGUGAGUGUGUAUGUGUGUACCAAGCAUUGGGGGAUGGCUGUGUGUCCCACUGAAGGAGACAGGAGAUGUUUUGCUCUACCCUUCCCCAAGCUGCAUUCAGGACCAGCUGGUAAUGUGUGGACCAAGUGC
rnacentral:lncRNA from 1 species